rnacentral:lncRNA from 1 species
UUCUACUACAGUAGCCAGCUAGCUCUGCAGACCCUGUUCUACUUCUACUUCAGAAGUGAAAUACAAUGUAUCAAGUGUAUGAGUCUGUCCUCAUUGCACGUCUGUUAUUUGAUAUCGCACCUCAAAUGAUGAGCUGGUGGACUGAGACCAGAUGGGGGGUGAAAUAGGUGGUAACAUGACAGUGUGUUAUCAGAGGACUGAGACCAGAUGGGGGUGUAAUAGGUGGUGACAUGACAGUGUGUUAUCAGAGGACUGAGACCAGAUGGGGGGUGUAAUAGGUGGUGACAUGACAGUGUGUUAUCAGAGGACUGAGACCAGAUGGGGGGUGAAAUAGGUGGUGACAUGACAGUGUGUUAUCAGAGGACUGAGACCAGAUGGGGGGCUGUAAUAGGUGGUGACAUGACAGUGUGUUAUCAGAGGACUGAGACCAGAUGGGGGGGGUGUAAUAGGUGGUGACAUGACAGUGUGUUAUCAGAGGACUGAGACCAGAUGGGGGGUGUAAUAGGUGGUGACAUGACAGUGUGUUAUCAGAGGACUGAGACCAGAUGGGGGGGUGUAAUAGGUGGUGACAUGACAGUGUGUUAUCAGAGGACUGAGACCAGAUGGGGGGUGUAAUAGGUGGUGACAUGAGGGUGGGUAUAAUUUGUGGAACGUUCCAACAGGAAUCUGUUACAAAAACUCUGUAAAUAUCAAGGUUGCCAACAAACAACAUCAAACAAAGUCGUAUAACGGUAGAAUGAGAUACCGGGUAGAGAGUGAACAAUGUAAUAACGUUUUUCAACCACCACGUUUAUUCUGAAAAAUGUCUCUCUUCGUUCUGGUAGCCUCCACCAUUCCUCGUUCGUUGGUUUAGUUAUUAUUUCCGGUGUUCCUGCAUUCGCCAGGUGAACUCUGUUGCGCCUCAAUUAGGGAAUCGCUAUGGUUGAAAUGUAACUAAUGACUGCCAGCCCCAGUAUUUUAUUAGCUAGGUGGCUUGGACACAAUUGUUACCGAUGAUACUGUAUACACCAGCCUACUCGUACUACAGAAACAUACAUUGUAUUUUGCCAAGUUCUGUCUGUGUUAAUCCUGUUUCCCAAAUAUAUCAG